UCGAGGAUCUUCGGCAAUGGGCGCAAGCCUGACCGAGCGACGCCGCGUGCGCGAUGAAGGCCUUCGGGUUGUAAAGCGCUGUCGAGGGGAAGGAAGGGAAACUUGACCGACCCCUGGAGGAAGCACGGGCUAAGUUCGUGCCAGCAGCCGCGGUAAGACGAACCGUGCGAACGUUAUUCGGAUUCACUGGGCUUAAAGGGCGCGUAGGCGGACUCGCCAGUCCGGGGUGAAAUCUUUCGGCUUAACCGGAAAAGUGCCUUGGAUACUGCGAGUCUUGAGGAAGGUAGGGGCAUGUGGAACUUCCGGUGGAGCGGUGAAAUGCGUUGAUAUCGGAAGGAACGCCGGUGGCGAAAGCGACGUGCUGGCCCUUCUCUGACGCUGAGGCGCGAAAGCCAGGGGAGCAAACGGGAUUAGAUACCCCCGUAGUCC
rnacentral:rRNA from 1 species